rnacentral:rRNA from 1 species
GGGCCCGCACAAGCGGUGGAGCAUGUGGUUUAAUUCGAUGAUACGCGAGGAACCUUACCAGGACUUAAAUGCAUAACGAUCGGUUGAGAAAUCAACUUUUCUUCGGACGGUAUGCAAGGUGCUGCAUGGUUGUCGUCAGCUCGUGCCGUGAGGUGUCAGGUUAAGUCCUAUAACGAGCGCAACCCCUAUUCUUAGUUGCCAGCGGAUAAUGCCGGGGACUCUAAGAAAACUGCCAGCGCAAGCUGUGAGGAAGGUGGGGAUGACGUCAAAUCAUCACGGCCCUUACGUCCUGGGCCACACACGUGCUACAAUGGUAGGUACAAAGGGCAGCCACUUGGCGACAAGGAGCUAA